rnacentral:lncRNA from 1 species
GGAAAACUGCAUAUACUGGGGAAAACGCCAAUACAGCAAAAGGGUAAAAUCACAACAGGAAACUCCACUGGGGAAUAUCUAUUACCGUCAGAACAUAGACAAUAUACUCGCAUGGAAGGAACACCAGGGAUACCGGUUACUUGGCAUAUAAUAGGUGACCAACCGAAAAGAGAGACAAUCGAUACCAACAACAACAGGGUAAACGAAAGAUAACUCACAAGGGAUAAAUUGCAAGCAUCCGGCAAUUAUCCAAGAGACAUA